GAGUUUGAUCCUGGCUCAGGACGAACGCUGGCGGCGUGCCUAAUACAUGCAAGUCGAGCGAGCUUGCCUAGAUGAUUUUAGUGCUUGCAUUAAAUGAAACUAGAUACAAGCGAGCGGCGGACGGGUGAGUAACACGUGGGUAACCUGCCCAAGAGACUGGGAUAACACCUGGAAACAGAUGCUAAUACCGGAUAACAACACUAGACGCAUGUCUAGAGUUUGAAAGAUGGUUCUGCUAUCACUCUUGGAUGGACCUGCGGUGCAUUAGCUAGUUGGUAAGGUAACGGCUUACCAAGGCAAUGAUGCAUAGCCGAGUUGAGAGACUGAUCGGCCACAUUGGGACUGAGACACGGCCCAAACUCCUACGGGAGGCAGCAGUAGGGAAUCUUCCACAAUGGACGAAAGUCUGAUGGAGCAACGCCGCGUGAGUGAAGAAGGGUUUCGGCUCGUAAAGCUCUGUUGGUAGUGAAGAAAGAUAGAGGUAGUAACUGGCCUUUAUUUGACGGUAAUUACUUAGAAAGUCACGGCUAACUACGUGCCAGCAGCCGCGGUAAUACGUAGGUGGCAAGCGUUGUCCGGAUUUAUUGGGCGUAAAGCGAGUGCAGGCGGUUCAAUAAG
rnacentral:rRNA from 1 species